ACUGCUCAGUAACACGUAGUCAACAUGCCCAAAGGACGUGGAUAACCUCGGGAAACUGAGGAUAAACCGCGAUAGGCCAAGGUUUCUGGAAUGAGCCAUGGCCGAAAUCUAUAUGGCCUUUGGAUUGGACUGCGGCCGAUCAGGCUGUUGGUGAGGUAAUGGCCCACCAAACCUGUAACCGGUACGGGCUUUGAGAGAAGGAGCCCGGAGAUGGGCACUGAGACAAGGGCCCAGGCCCUAUGGGGCGCAGCAGGCGCGAAACCUCUGCAAUAGGCGAAAGCUUGACAGGGUUACUCUGAGUGAUUUCCGUUAAGGAGAUCUUUUGGCACCUCUAAAAAUGGUGCAGAAUAAGGGGUGGGCAAGUCUGGUGUCAGCCGCCGCGGUAAUACCAGCACCCCGAGUGGUCGGGACGUUUAUUGGGCCUAAAGCAUCCGUAGCCGGUUCUACAAGUCUUCCGUUAAAUCCACCUGCUCAACAGAUGGGCUGCGGAAGAUACUAUGGAGCUAGGAGGCGGGAGAGGCAAGCGGUACUCGAUGGGUAGGGGUAAAAUCCGUUGAUCCAUUGAAGACCACCAGUGGCGAAGGCGGCUUGCCAGAACGCGCUCGACGGUGAGGGAUGAAAGCUGGGGGAGCAAACCGGAUUAGAUACCCGGGUAGUCCCAGCUGUAAACGAUGCAGACUCGGUGAUGAGUUGGCUUUAUGCCAACUCAGUGCCGCAGGGAAGCCGUUAAGUUUGCCGCCUGGGGAGUACGGUCGCAAGACUGAAACUUAAAGGAAUUGGCGGGGGAGCAC
rnacentral:rRNA from 1 species